rnacentral:rRNA from 1 species
UACGGAGGGUGCGAGCGUUGUCCGGAAUCACUGGGCGUAAAGGGCGCGUAGGCGGCGCGGGUAGUCAUCGGUGAAAGUUCAGGGCUCAACUCUGAAUCGGCCGGUGAUACUCCCGUGCUUGAGCACUGUAGAGGCAGGUGGAAUUCCGGGUGUAGCGGUGGAAUGCGUAGAGAUCCGGAAGAACACCGGUGGCGAAGGCGGCCUGCUGGGCAGUAGCUGACGCUGAUGCGCGACAGCGUGGGGAGCAAACAGG